UCAAGUUAUUAAGGGUGCAGGGCGGAUGCCUUGGCACUAGGAGCCGAUGAAGGACGUGAUAAGCUGCGAUAAGCUUCGGGGAGUUGCACGUAAACUUUGAUCCGAAGAUUUCCGAAUGAGGAAACUCACUUAGAGUAAUGUCUAAGUAUCAUUAAGUGAAUACAUAGCUUAAUGAGGGGAACUCAGGGAACUGAAACAUCUAAGUACCUGAAGGAAGAGAAAGAAAUUCGAUUCCGUAAGUAGCGGCGAGCGAACGCGGAUUAGCCCAAACCAAUAAAGUUUUCUUUAUUGGGGUUGCGGACAUAUCAUAACGAAGAGGUAUCGUAAUUGAAGAGGUUUGGAAAGACCCACCACAGAAGGUAAUAGUCCUGUAUGUUAAACGAGAAGACUUCAGAUAUGAUCCAGAGUACCACGGGACACGUGAAACCCUGUGGGAAGCAGGAGGGACCACCCUCCAAGGCUAAAUACUACCUAGUGACCGAUAGCGUAUAGUACCGUGAGGGAAAGGUGAAAAGAACCCCGGGAGGGGAGUGAAAUAGAACCUGAAACCCUGCACUUACAAGCUGUGGAAGCACAUUUCUUGUGUGACCGCGUACUUUUUGUAGAACGGGCCAACGAGUUACGUUAAGUAGCAAGGUUAAGCACUUAAGGUGCGGAGCCGUAGCGAAAGCGAGUUUUAACUGAGCGUUCAGUUACUUGACGUAGACCCGAAACCGGGCGACCUACCCAUGAGCAGGAUGAAGCGAAAGUAAAAUUUCGUGGAGGUCCGAACCCACGAGCGUUGAAAAGCUCGGGGAUGACUUGUGGGUAGCGGUGAAAUUCCAAUCGAGCCCGGAGAUAGCUGGUUCUCCCCGAAAUAGCUUUAGGGCUAGCCUCAAGGUGAGAGAUACGGAGGUAGAGCACUGAAUGUCCUAGGGGGUAUUGCACCUACCGAAGACUAUCAAACUCCGAAUGCCGUCAUCUUAUACUUGGGAGUCAGACUGUGGGUGAUAAGAUUCAUAGUCGAAAGGGCAACAGCCCAGAUCGUCAGCUAAGGUCCCUAAAUGUAAGUUAAGUGGUAAAGGAUGUGGGAUUGCACAGACAACCAGGAUGUUGGCUUAGAAGCAGCCACUCAUUCAAAGAGUGCGUAAUAGCUCACUGGUCGAGUGAUCCUGCGCCGAAGAUUUCCGGGGCUAAAACUUACUACCGAAGCUACGGCAUCAGUAAUGAUGGGUAGGGGAGCUUCCCAUACGGGUUGAAGCAUGACCGUAAGGACAUGUGGACAGUAUGGGAGUGAGAAUGUUGGCAUGAGUAGCGAGAUGUGGGUGAGAAUCCCACAGGCCGUAAACCCAAGGUUUCCAGGGGAAGGUUCGUCCGCCCUGGGUUAGUCGGGACCUAAGCUGAGGCCGAAAGGCGUAGGUGAUGGACAACAGGUUGAUAUUCCUGUACUACCGAUAACCGUUUGAGAGAAGGGAUGACACAGUAGGAUAAGCUAAGCACACUGUUGGUUAUGUGUGCCCAAGCAUUGAGGCAGUCAAAGUAGGCAAAUCCGCUUUGAUAAUGCUGGGAUGUGAUGGGGAGCGAAAUUUAGUAGCGAAGUAGCUGAUUUCACACUGUCAAGAAAAGUCUCUAUCGAGGUUAAAGGUACCCGUACCGCAAACCGACACAGGUGGGUGAGGAGAGUAUCCUAAGGCCAGCGAGAGAACUGUUGUUAAGGAACUCGGCAAAAUGACCCCGUAACUUAGGGAUAAGGGGUGCCACCAUCAGGUGGCCGCAGAGAAUAGGCCCAAGCGACUGUUUACCAAAAACAUAGGUUUCUGCUAAGUCGCAAGACGAUGUAUAGGAGCUGACGCCUGCCCGGUGCUGGAAGGUUAAGGGGAUCUGUUAGAGCAAUCGAAGCAGUGAACUUAAGCCCCAGUAAACGGCGGCCGUAACUAUAACGGUCCUAAGGUAGCGAAAUUCCUUGUCGGGUAAGUUCCGACCCGCACGAAAGGCGUAACGAUUUGGGCACUGUCUCAACAACAGACUCGGUGAAAUUGUAAUUCCGGUGAAGAUGCCGGAUACCUGCGACAGGACGGAAAGACCCCAUGGAGCUUUACUGUAGCUUGACAUUGGGUUUUGGUACUACAUGUACAGGAUAGGUGGGAGGCUUUGAAACCAGGACGCCAGUUUUGGCGGAGCCAUCCUUGGGAUACCACCCUUGUAGUACUGGGACUCUAACCAUAGGCCAUGAAUCUGGUCUUGGGACACUGUCAGGCGGGCAGUUUGACUGGGGCGGUCGCCUCCCAAAAGGUAACGGAGGCGCUCAAAGGUUCUCUCAGUACGGUCGGAAAUCGUACGUAGAGUGUAAAGGCAAAAGAGAGCUUGAUUGCAAGACAUACAGGUCGAGCAAGGAUGAAAAUCGGACUUAGUGAUCCGGUGGUUCUGCGUGGAAGGGCCAUCGCUCAACGGAUAAAAGCUACCCUGGGGAUAACAGGCUUAUCUCCCCCAAGAGUCCACAUCGACGGGGAGGUUUGGCACCUCGAUGUCGGCUCAUCACAUCCUGGGGCUGUAGUAGGUCCCAAGGGUUGGGCUGUUCGCCCAUUAAAGUGGUACGCGAGCUGGGUUCAGAACGUCGUGAGACAGUUCGGUCCCUAUCCGUCGCAGGCGUAGGAAAUUUGAGAAGACCUGUCCUUAGUACGAGAGGACCGGGAUGGACGUACCUCUGGUGUACCAGUUGUUCUGCCAAGGGCAUGGCUGGGUAGCUAUGUACGGAAUGGAUAAGCGCUGAAAGCAUCUAAGCGCGAAGCCAACUUCAAGAUAAGAUUUCCCACCGCAAGGGUAAGACCCCAGAAAGACUAUCUGGUUGAUAGGUCGAAGGUGUAAGUGCAGCAAUGUAUUUAGCUUAUCGAUACUAAUAGGUCGAGGACUUGACCAA
rnacentral:rRNA from 3 species